GUCCUCCAACUGGCAAUGGAGUUGAAGAACCAGGCAGUGACUCUUCCUCUUAGAUAUUCUCAGUGAGCAAGACCUGGGACCCAGAAGCACUUUGCCCUUAGAUUUCAGACUUUGGCAUGUCCUUCACUCUCUCUCCAUCCCCGAGACUUUCGACAGCUGUUCAUCAUCUCCCUUUGCCCUGUUUUGGGUCCAGCUGAUUAUCAGAGGCAAAUUCUAUAAGCUGACUCUUUCCGCAGGUUCUGCCUUUACAGGGCUAAUUGCUUCUUCCACCUACACCAUGUGGCCAUGGGCCAUCUUAGCCCAACCCACAUUAGGGCCCUCAGAACUGCACCUCCACCCCAUGGUUAGUCAUUCCAGACUAACUUGUUCUCUUAUUCUGAACUUGGCCUCAGCUUUCCCCCUUCACCUCUCUCUGUUGGCUGAGAGCUAUGGUCACCAUUUCAUCCUGAGAAAGGACAUUCAAUUAAGAGGAGAAUUUCAUGCCUAUAUUCAGAAGUUUGCUGAUUUUCCCGAGGUCAACGUCUCUGCAGCCGCCUUGGGCUGAUGCCACACACACUCAUUUCCUGACCUUGGACGCUCCUCCAGGUUCCCACCGAGUGGCUGCAUGUUUAACCCUUUGAAGGCUGCAGACAAGGCUUCACACUACGCCCACUUCCACUUGGCCGGUGCCCAUGCUCAGCAUAGGAAGAAUGUGGGACCACAGUCAUUCAUUUCUUCAGACUUAUGUGAAUUGGUGUCAUAUUAAUACUAGUGCCUUGGAAUACAGAGAACUGAAUACAAAUACAAUCCUGCUACUUACUUACGCUUUAAAGAAUAAAUGUUUCUCGAAGGCAGAGACUGUUUCCAAAAAUGACUUUUUCAUUGUAUCCUGCCUGGCACAGAGUAGGGACUUACUAAAUGUUUAUUGAUUGACUUCUACCACCACUGCAGAUGGGGGUACAGCUGUACCUUAGGAAAUGGCUUGUGGCUUUAUGUAGCCAGCCUUUUUGCGAAUGAACCUCUUUCUGGGGGUGGAAGAAGAGGAUGGAGGGGAGGGGAGUAACAUGGCAUGGAAUGUAGAAGUAUCAGACACAUGGCCCUUCUUCCUGGGUUCAGCCUGAAUCCAAUUAAAAUGUAAUUUGGGGGCAUCUGAGUGGCUCAGUGAGCAGAGAGCCAGGCCUGGAGAUGAGAGAUCUUGGGUUUAAAUCUGGUCUCAGACACUUCCUAGCUGUGUGACCCUGGCCAAGUCACUUAACCCCCAUUGCGUAGCCCUUACCACUCUUCUGCAUUGGAACCCAUACAUGGUAUUGAUUCUAAGAUAUGAAGGUAAGGGUUUUUUAAAAAAAUAA